rnacentral:sRNA from 1 species
UCAUCUGGCCCGUUUGUCGGUAGACCGCACAC